AUCUGGCAACUGAAGAAGGAA
rnacentral:misc_RNA from 1 species